UCCUUCAAUACACAGCUCAAAAUUUAAAAAAAUUGUUUUGCUCGAAUCUAUUAAGUGAAAGAUAGUCUAAUUUACGCUCAAACAUGGACGAGCUUUAUCCGGUAAUGCGCGAGUUUAUGGUCGUUUGUAUAACAGCAUUUAUUGACGGCCUGAACAUUGCCAUAAACUUUUGGAGUGGCAUGGACGCGUACACCCAACAGCCGAAAGACUGCAAUUGCAGCUGCACUGAAACCCCAAGCGACAUGCAGCAGCAGGAACCAGCUGUUGAUGAGCUAUAAACGGAGGACAGGCCACGCCACAAAGUUUGGCGCAGAAGCAUCAAAACCGAGCCAACACUCGCUUUGAUCCUGAACCACGGUGGAUUGGAAUAAGUGGACACCAUUUUUCAUACAAAACUUUAGAUUAACCUUUCGACUAAACCACAAGAAAAAACGAAUUAAAUACAAAUUA